rnacentral:rRNA from 1 species
UACAGAGGGGGCAAGCGUUGUUCGGAAUUACUGGGCGUAAAGGGCGCGUAGGCGGCCUGUUAAGUCGGACGUGAAAUCCCUCGGCUCAACCGGGGAACUGCGUCCGAUACUGGCGGGCUUGAAUUCGGGAGAGGGAUGUGGAAUUCCAGGUGUAGCGGUGAAAUGCGUAGAUAUCGUAAGGAAGACCAGUGGCGAAGGCGGCUCUCUGGGUCGUACCUGACGCUGAGGCGCGAAAGCGUGGGGAGCGAACGGG